CCUACGGGAGGCAGCAGUGAGGAAUCUUGGUCAAUGGACGCAAGUCUGCACCAGCCAUGCCGCGUGCAGGAAGACGGCUCUAUGAGUUGUAAACUGCUUUUGUACGAGGGUAAACGCAGAUACGCGUAUCUGUCUGAAAGUAUCUUACGAAUAAGGAUCGGCUAACUCCGUGCCAACAGCCGCGGUAAUACGGAGGAUUCAAGCGUUAUCCGGAUUUAUUGGGUUUAAAGGGUGCGUAGGCGGUCGGAUAAGUUAGAGGUGAAAUCCCGAGGCUCAACUUCGGAAUUGCCUCUGAUACUGUGCGGCUAGAGAGGAGUUGCGGUAGGCGGAAUGUAUGGUGUAGAAGUGAAAUGCUUAGAGAGCAUACAGAACACCGAUUGCGAAGGCAGCUUACCAGGCUACUUCUGACGUUGAGGCACGAAAGCGUGGGGAGCAAACAGGAUUAGAUACCCGGGUAGUC
rnacentral:rRNA from 1 species